GUGCCAGCAGCCGCGGUAAUACGGAGGGUGCAAGCGUUAUCCGGAUUCACUGGGUUUAAAGGGUGCGUAGGCGGAUUUGUAAGUCCGUGGUGAAAUCUCCAGGCUUAACCUGGAAACUGCCAUGGAUACUAUAAAUCUUGAAUGUUGUGGAGGUUAGCGGAAUAUGUCAUGUAGCGGUGAAAUGCAUAGAUAUGACAUAGAACACCAAUUGCGAAGGCAGCUGGCUACACAAAUAUUGACGCUGAGGCACGAAAGCGUGGGGAUCAAACAGGAUUAGAUACCCCAGUAGUC
rnacentral:rRNA from 1 species